UACGAAGGGGGCUAGCGUUGCUCGGAAUCACUGGGCGUAAAGCGCACGUAGGCGGCUUUUUAAGUCAGGGGUGAAAUUCUGGAGCUCAACUCCAGAACUGCCUUUAAGACUGCAUCGCUAGAAUUGUGGAGAGGGAAGUGGAAUUCCCGGUGUAGUGGUGAAAUGCGUAGAUAUCGGGAGGAACACCAGUGGCGAAGGCGACUUCCUGGCCUGUUCUUGACGCUGAGGCGCGAAAGCUAGGGGAGCAAACGGG
rnacentral:rRNA from 1 species